rnacentral:rRNA from 1 species
AUUGAACGCUGGCGGCAGGCCUAACACAUGCAAGUCGAGCGAGUGGCGGACGGGUGAGUAAUGUCUGUGCAACUGCCCGAUGGAGGGGGAUAACUACUGGAAACGGUAGCUAAUACCGCAUACCAUCGGAUGUGCCCAGGUGGGAGUAGCGAGUGGGUGGGGUAACGGCUCACCUAGGCGACGAUCCCUAGCUGGUGUGAGAGGAGGACCAGCCACACUGGAACUGAGACACGGUCCAGACUCCUACGGGAGGCAGCAGUGGGGAAUAUUGGACAAUGGGCGCAAGCCUGAGACAGCCAUGCCGCGUGUGUGAAGAAGGCCUUCGGGUUGUAAAGUACUUUCAGCGAGGAGGCGUUACUCGCAGAAGAAGCACCGGCUAACUCCGUGCCAGCAGCCGCGGUAAUUC